AAACUUUCAACAACGGAUCUCUUAGCUCUGGCAUCGAUGAAGAACGCAGCGAAACGCGAUAAGUAAUGUGAAUUGCAGAAUCCAGUGAAUCAUCGAAUCUUUGAACGUACAUUGCGCCCGCCAGCAUUCUGGCGGGCAUGCCUGUUCGAGCGUCAUUUC
rnacentral:rRNA from 1 species